CUGGCGGCAGGCCUAACACAUGCAAGUCGAACGGUAACAGGAAGCAGCUUGCUGCUUUGCUGACGAGUGGCGGACGGGUGAGUAAUGUCUGGGAAACUGCCUGAUGGAGGGGGAUAACUACUGGAAACGGUGGCUAAUACCGCAUAACGUCGCAAGACCAAAGAGGGGGACCUUCGGGCCUCUUGCCAUCAGAUGUGCCCAGAUGGGAUUAGCUUGUUGGUGAGGUAACGGCUCACCAAGGCGACGAUCCCUAGCUGGUCUGAGAGGAUGACCAGCCACACUGGAACUGAGACACGGUCCAGACUCCUACGGGAGGCAGCAGUGGGGAAUAUUGCACAAUGGGCGCAAGCCUGAUGCAGCCAUGCCGCGUGUAUGAAGAAGGCCUUCGGGUUGUAAAGUACUUUCAGCGGGGAGGAAGGUGUUGUGGUUAAUAACCACAGCAAUUGACGUUACCCGCAGAAGAAGCACCGGCUAACUCCGUGCCAGCAGCCGCGGUAAUACGGAGGGUGCAAGCGUUAAUCGGAAUUACUGGGCGUAAAGCGCACGCAGGCGGUCUGUCAAGUCGGAUGUGAAAUCCCCGGGCUCAACCUGGGAACUGCAUUCGAAACUGGCAGGCUUGAGUCUUGUAGAGGGGGGUAGAAUUCCAGGUGUAGCGGUGAAAUGCGUAGAGAUCUGGAGGAAUACCGGUGGCGAAGGCGGCCCCCUGGACAAAGACUGACGCUCAGGUGCGAAAGCGUGGGGAGCAAACAGGAUUAGAUACCCUGGUAGUCCACGCCGUAAACGAUGUCUACUUGGAGGUUGUGCCCUUGAGGCGUGGCUUCCGGAGCUAACGCGUUAAGUAGACCGCCUGGGGAGUACGGCCGCAAGGUUAAAACUCAAAUGAAUUGACGGGGGCCCGCACAAGCGGUGGAGCAUGUGGUUUAAUUCGAUGCAACGCGAAGAACCUUACCUGGUCUUGACAUCCACAGAACUUUCCAGAGAUGGAUUGGUGCCUUCGGGAACUGUGAGACAGGUGCUGCAUGGCUGUCGUCAGCUCGUGUUGUGAAAUGUUGGGUUAAGUCCCGCAACGAGCGCAAC
rnacentral:rRNA from 1 species